CCAAUAGCGUAUAUUAGUGUUGUUGCGGUUAAAAAGCUCGUAGUUGAAUUUCGGGAUUGGGAUAUAUUGGUCAUGCCUUUAGGGGCAUGAAUCGGUGUGUAGCCAAUUUCUCACCUUCUGGUGAAUUGGGAUGCUCUUGGGUGUUUCAAUGAACUAGGACUUUUACUUUGAAAAAAAUAUAGUGUUUAAAGCAGGCAUUUUUGCUUGAAUACAUUAGCAUGGAAUAAUAAAAUAGGACGAUGGUUCUAUUUUGUUGGUUUUAGGACCACGUAAUGAUUAAUAGGGAUAGUUGGGGGCAUUAGUAUUCAAUAGUCAGAGGUGAAAUUCUUGGAUUUAUUGAGGACUAACUACUGCGAAAGCAUUUGCCAAGGAUGUUUUCAUUAAUCAAGAACGAAAGUUAGGGGAUCGAAGACGAUUUAUGUACGUCGUAGUCUUAACCAUAAACUAUGCCGACUAGGAAUCAGACAAAGUUCAUUUUUUAACGACUUGUUUGGUACCUUACG
rnacentral:rRNA from 1 species